AGGACGAACGCUGGCGGCGUGCCUAAAACAUGCAAGUCGAACGAGGUAGCAAUACCUAGUGGCGAACGGCGGAGUAAUACAUAAACAACGUGCCCCGAAGACUGGGAUAUACAGCUGAAAAGCUGGGCAAUACCGGAUGUGGCAGCGUCUCGGCAUCGAGAUGCUAUCAAAUGGUUUUUCGCUUUGGGAGCGGUUUAUGGCCUAUCAGGUAGUUGGUGGGGUAAUGGCCUACCAAGCCGACGACGGGUAGCGGGUCUGAGAGGAUGAUCCGCUCGAGUGGGACUGAGACACGGCCCACACACCUACGGGUGGCAGCAGUUGGGAAUCUUGCACAAUGGGGGAAACCCUGAUGCAGCGACGCCGCGUGGAGGAUGACGGAUCGUAGGUCUGUAAACUCCUUUUUCAUGGAAGACUUAGGACGGUACCAUGAGAAUAAGGACCGGCUAACUACGCGCCAGCAGCCGCGGUAA
rnacentral:rRNA from 1 species